UACGUAGGGUGCAAGCGUUGUCCGGAAUUAUUGGGCGUAAAGAGCUCGUAGGCGGUGUGUCGCGUCGGCCGUGAAAACCUGCAGCUUAACUGUGGGCUUGCGGUCGAUACGGGCAUCACUGGAGUUCGGCAGGGGAGACUGGAAUUCCUGGUGUAGCGGUGAAAUGCGUUGAUAUCGGAAGGAACGCCGGUGGCGAAGGCGACACACUGGACCUCUUCUGACGCUGAGGCGCGAAAGCCAGGGGAGCAAACGGG
rnacentral:rRNA from 1 species